rnacentral:misc_RNA from 1 species
GAUGAAGAACGCAGCGAAAUGCGAUAAGUAAUGUGAAUUGCAGAAUUCAGUGAAUCAUCGAAUCUUUGAACGCACAUUGCGCCCGCCAGUAUUCUGGCGGGCAUGCCUGUUCGAGCGUCAUUUCAACCCUCAGGCCCCCAGUGCCUGGCGUUGGGGAUCGGCGCGGCGCCCUCCGGGGCGCUGCCGGCCCCGAAAUUCAGUGGCGGUCUCGCUGUAGCCCUCCUCCGCGUAGUAGCACAACCUCGCGGCCUGGAGCUCGGCGGUGGCCAUGCCGUAAAACACCCCACUUCUGAAAGUUGACCUCGGAUCAGGUAGGAAUACCCGCUGAACUUAAGCAUAUCAAUAAGCGGAGGA